GGAAGCAUCUUAUGUUUCUUUCUGCUUCAAGGAUUCCAAUGAUUGUUCUUUCUCCCCAUUUCAACCACCGCAGGCUCCUGGCAGACCAUGAUACUCUGACAAGUCCUGAAUGCCAGAGGAGAGAAAAGGGUAUUCAAUCCGAGGACCUUGACUGCUUUUGUGAGAAGGAAUUACCUGCUAAGUAUAGUCUCGGAGAAAAGUUUUCUCAUAGGUCAUGCGAGGACAAGCCGAGGAAACACAAGCCUUCAUUCUUUGGAUGCAUAACAAUAUUCCAAGACAAAUGUUUCUCAGGGACUAGGAUUUGAUCCUGCAUCUGUCACACACUCAGGGUGUGACGUGGGGGAAUGGCCAUCCCCUCCCUGAACAUAGGUCCCCAUUUCUAAAGCAGGGGGUUUAGAAUUCUAGGAUUCCACAGCGUCAUGCCUUGAAUGGGGUCAGGCUGGGUGGUCAGAAGCUCAGGGCUGGUGGGAAAGGACACAGCCAGGAAGGGACAGGGCUCCUGUUGGGUAACGAGAGAGGCAUGGUGACUGGGCCUGAGCCAGUCCGGAAAGAAUGUCUAAAGAGGUCGGAUCUGGGGGCCGAGGAGGACAGUGGGAGUCUCCUAAGAGUGGCAGUCAAGCCAGGUCAGCCUCUGGGCAGGCGGCCGGGUUUGGGGAAUGGCAUCAAUGUGUAGGGAGAGGCUCUUAAGGCCAAACAGGUGUCAGGGCCCAAGCCAAGUAGUCUUGAGGUCAGGACAGGGUGUCACUUCUAAACGAGGCGCCUGAGCCCAAAGCAGGCCUGAGUCAAAACCCAUUCGCCCUGGCAACAGCAUGACAGACGGACCCACUCUGGGAGCAAGGGAUCCUGAGUUUAAGUAAGCCAGGAUGAGGCCCAGAAAGACUAGAUGAUUUGGCCAAGAAAAAGGACACAGCAGAACUGGCAGAGCUGGAUGUGACCCCAAGCAGAUUGGCUCCAGCUCCUCUUGACUGCAACGCAACCUUCCCGAAGCCUGCCCGUGACCCCGUCCUCUCCCUUGGAGCGCUUAGAUCAUCUUGGAAUAGCACUUGUGUCGAUGGGAUUGUCUGCGAGUGCCCACUCCAGGGUCGGAUUCUGAGCUAGCUGCCUCAGUGUUUGCUCACCACCCCGUAUCCAGCACCUAGCUCUGCCCCGACCAGAAACUUCGGGACAGCCCCCGUGUGAGAGGUUGCCAGGAGGCUCAGAUGAGAUAAAGAACUUGAAGCAACAGCCAGCUGCAGAAGAAUGAUGCAUGCGUGCCUCUGUUCAAGGAGACGCUGAACAAUCCAUUUCUAACUGAUGAAUCAAUCCCAUGCUGUGGUAUCUUCAUUACCUGUUUGAAAAGUUCUCCAGGACCAGGCUGGCUAUCUAAGAGAGAAAGUUAUCCUACUUCGGGGCAAGAGACUUCUUGGCAUUUGUGGCUGAGGUCUUUAUUUUUCAAGGAGGUGUCCUUAUUUGCUGAAGACAAUUUCUUGGCUCAAAUGAACCAGCUCAACAGUCACCUGUGUUCGCUGACAGACUGUUGCUUCCUAAUAUUGCCCCACCUGGGGUGUGUGCGGGGGCCCUUGGUGGGUGACGUGAAUAUCUAUAUCUAUUUAGGGCCAGGUGGUGGCAGCUUCAGCUGUAGUCCCCACAGGUGGCUUGGCUCUUAAUCAAACUCCUUCUGAUUCACAUGAGAAGUCUUCUUCAGGAAUUUCUUCUCGCUGCUCAAAAGUGUGCGUCUCAUUGCCAUGGACAGCAUGAGUUUCAGAAAAUCUGGGGCUCAAAUGAGAAUGGGAGGU